UCGACACUGGAGAUAUUGUGUGGUUUUACCUCCAGGAGCAUUUUCCUGGAUAAUUACAGCUAUAAAUCUGGCUGAGGCACCUGCAGAGCUCUUCGAGGAGGAGGUCGUCAGCACGUCAGAGGGAGAACAAAGAACUCGCUAAAAACGCACUUGUUGACUGACUGAUGAGAUCACCCAGGAAGUAACAACCAGGUGCAAAUGGGGUCUUCAGAUUUGAGGUUUCUAGGGAAUCGUCAGAAGAGCUGCGUGGCCCAUCAUGAGCUGCGAGGAUCUCAUCAAGAAAACAUCUAAGGGCUGUAAUUAUUCAAUCCUGCUGCUCAUUAAGAAACCUUCUAUUGCCCAUUCUUCAGAGAGACAAAG